rnacentral:sRNA from 1 species
UUUCCUGUAGUAAAGAAAAGUAAACGGGUAGGUUAAUUGUGAAUAUAAAGUAUUUAAGGGAUUUUUAUAAAUGUAUUCAUAAAAUAAUAUAAAGAUGUGCCUUUCCACAAAAUGUGAUCCUUUUCAGGUUUAUUAUGAAAGGUCAAAUUGUGUUCCAGGUCAGUGAAACCCUUCAGGAUAUAGUACUCAGGAAAUAUUUUAUGACUUGACUUGGCAAUGAAAAAGGGCUGAUUUGGAGAAAUGGGAAUGGCCAACAUAAGCACAGAAGCUGUACCCCAGAAAAAAGGAUUAGAAGGACAAAGAUCAGAUAAAUGAGCAGACAGGGUCCUGUUGUGGGUUCCAGCAGAGGGACCUAGAGGUGACACUGAAUACAUGAUUUCUGUCUGAGUCUUCAAGGUCUGUAGAAAUGUUAGAUGCAUCCGGUGGCUCAUUUGGGAAACAGCCCUGAGGAGAAAACUCUCAGUUUUCAAAAAAAAAAUAGAAAGAGAAAAAGAAGAGAAAGAAGAAGAGAGAUGACAAAAAGGCCGAAGUGUAAGAAAAAGGACCCAGGGACAGGUGCCAGCUCGGCCGGCCGGAGGUUGGCUGGAGGGGAAGGUUAGAGAUUUCCUUUCCCACCACCCAGACAGUGCCACUGGCAAGGACAUUGGGAUCUUGGAUCGAUCCCAAACGCCCCGGAAAGUAAGUACUCCUUUUCAGAGCCAUGAGAGAGGGAAGCAGGAAGCCAAAGCCAGCCCCUGGGGAGUGAAGGAGGAGAUGCUGGUGCCCCAGCAAAGCCACACACCUUCUCUGAACUUGACUGGGUCGCUUUCGCCCUAGCUAACCUUGAAUUCAAGUCAAUCCUCCAGCGUCAGCCUCUCAAGUGCUUGCCCGCAGGUGUGUACCACUCAUGCCCAUUCCAUAAAUGGAACGUUCAGUGACUAUGAGGCACUGGUCACUGCUACCGCUUUAUUCUGCUCAGCCAGCCUCAGCAGCAUCCUGGAGAGACCAGCUCUGCUACUCCGCCUGGAGCCCACCCUCCUGACCUCGAACUUCAGCUACAGAGUGAGACCACACCCUUCCCGUCCACAGGGCAGUGAUGUAAAUGUGGUGUGGAAGAGACUAGGAGGACCUAGCCCAGAGCCUCCUGCAGGGGGAAGUGGCCAUCAAUGGUGGCCUUUAUGGUGGCUGGCCUCGGAUGGGACUGGGAAGGAGUCAGAGCUUGGGAACAGAGGGAGCUAUUGUAUGAGGGAGCGGGGUGCUCCCUGAAGAGAGCAGCAAGAGUCCUCACCCGCCAGACCCUUGCUGGCCCUACUUCAUUAUUUGUAGUGGCAUUCGCCCAUCAGCCUGGGAGUCCGUGGAGGGAACUCUACCAGCACAGCAGCCGCCACAUUUUCCCAUACCCUGGAUUUGCCCGCUUCCAUCCAAGAUUAACCACCUUCCACUGUGCGAACAUUGUCUCAGACAGCAUUCGCGAUGUGGCCUCAGAGCAGAUAAAGGGCUGUUCAUUGUCACUGCAGAAGGAAAUGGGGGAAGGUCCCUCCAGCGUGCCCUGCUAGAGAUGACAACUGGGUGCGCCUCCUCAUUCCGUGACCUCUUGACCUUAGCCACCCGUGGGAGAAUUUACACCAUGGAAAGAGGCCAAUGCCGUAGCCCAGGACAAGCUGCAGAAGCAUUUAUCAGCACAAUCACUGUCCCCAAGGAAUUGGAAAUGGUGACUUGGUCCUGAACACCCCACUUAGGGCAUCAGAUUGGUUUCCUGUGCAGGAGGCCAGGUGUGAGAGAAGGGUUAGGGGGAUAGCACCCUCUACCCUAACAAGCCGAGGGUCCCUACUCCCAAGCCUCAUUUCCUGCCAGCCAGCUGGACCCCGGAUGUUUCUGAGAGCUGACCUUGACCCUCCCUGCUGAUGAAGGCUGGAGCUAUAGUGGAAGGAAAUUCGACACGCCAGGAAUGGCUCCCUCCAAAGGACACAGGCUCAAGAAGCCUUCUGCCCAACCCGGCUGAGGGCAGAACUGGAUCAGAACUGAAUCCUUGAGAUGACUUCUCUCACAGGGGCAGAGACAACUUUGAGUCACUCUGGCUGUCAGACCCUUAUUAAUAUCUGCUAUGUUUGCAGAUUCCAUCUUCGUAAGUCACUUUGUGAUAAAGUGGCUUCCUGCGGCCGGCUCAUCUGGACGCAGUAAUGUUUUCAUUGAUCUGCUGAUGCGUGCAUCCUGCUGCACCGGAUGGAAGGCUGCCUCUAACAGCCGGAUUCUCGGGUAUCAAAUUCCAGGAACAGCUCCAAGGCCAGGCACCUCUGACACUCCCAUUGUCAGUGAGCUCAGCCGUGGGCUGCAGAGGUAGGUCUGUGAAGGCCUUCCAGUACAACCGGCCUCCUACUCCUAGGUGUCCCUUGCCUCUGGACUCUGUGUCCAACACAGUGCCUGGUACCAUAAGGUGCUUUAUUGCCACCAGUGCAGUCAACAUGCAAUAGAUGACAAAUGACUCUGGCUUAGGCAGGAUGGAUGACUUCAAAAUAGUUCACAGACCUCAGAUCACAUUACUGUGAGUCUGUCUGUCUGUCUGUCUGUCUGUCUGUCUGUCUAUCUAUCUAUCUAUCUAUCUAUCUCUCCUUCUCCCUCACCCUCCAUCACCCUCUCUCAUAAGAAAAAAGUAAAAAACAGCUCAUGGAUGUGUUUCUAUACCUGCGUUUGACAAAUGUUUUGUGUGCUAAGAUAGCUCAGCGGUGUGCAGGGGCAGCUUCUAUGGUCUGGAGUGGGGCCUUUCCAGAUUCUGGAUAUGUUCAAGGGGCUACCAGGGCCUGGAUUCUAGAACAAGAAAAGAUGGCUGUGGCUAGUAAGCCCCUCCCACAUGGCUGUGCAUACCAGGAAACAACCCAGGCUUCAUUCUGCUGUGCUCUCUGACUGGUAGACCACUCUCUGUGGUACCACCCUUUGUGGGACAGCAAAGGGUGCCCGUUCUAGCCAGCAUCAGUCAUCUUUCUUCAUUGCUAUGACACCUGACAGACCUGAUUUAAAGGGGGAGAAAUCUAUUUCAGCUCACAGUUUUGAGGGUAAGACCCAGCAGGGCAGGUGAAUCAUGGUAUUGAGAGCUACUCUGUGAUGGCAAGAGCUUACAGCUGCUGCUGCUUCACAUCUUGGUGGACCAGGAAGUAGAACGAAGACCAGUUCCCAAUGACUCAUUCCUGUUAAUCAGCCGAGGGUCACAUUCAAACUAUACCGGUGUAGACCAGUGUCCUAGAACCUUUUGGUUAUGUUUUCUUAUUACUCCAGAAAGUUCUGGAACUUUGUUCUGGGUCCCCAUUGCUAGGGAACAAGCCACCCCCAAACUGGGGAGGUUUGAGAAGACAGAGCAUGCAAGACCUAUUGUGGGGUGAGGCUCUGGUUUAUUCAAAGGUGCACUGUCCCUCCUGAGGUGCUCUCUUCUCUCUCCUUCCUACUGCCUGUCUUGGCAGCAACAGGACAGGGCCAUGCCAGGUUAGCCUCCUGUGACUUUUAGGGCAUGCUAUUCUCAAGGGCUGUGGGACUCUUAACUGCCUGCUUGAGGCUGUGUAAGUCCCAUUGUCCUGGUGAACAAGGGACAAGCUGUGUGACUCCUGGUGACCCAGCCCGGGACUCUGAAAGCAUGCUUUCCUUGGACUUCAUUGGCCAAUGUCAUCAUGGGAGAGCUAGGGAGUCUGUCUCUCUAAGUUUCGUGGCAAAGAAUUGAGCAGUGAUCUGGGUUAGGCAGACAGGAGGAAGUAGGGAAGCCCUUUCCCCUUGGCCGCUUUCUUUUCCUGUCUCCUCUCUCAGUUGGGGCACAUCUCUUAUCCUCAGCUUUUCUGCUCUUGAGAUCCUCGAAUAGGAAGAGCAUCCCCUUUCUGGGGAAGCAAACUCAGAGUGGGGGAUGUCAGACAGUUAGAAACAAUAAGCACUAUAGCACUUGUGCCUCGUGGCCCACCGGGUCCCUGGUACAGAGAUGGGAUCACAAAGUGUGACAAACACUCUUGGCCUGUAGGCUCCCACCCACUGACUUGCGACACUCGGACAAAGACUCAGCUUGACUUGGUGGUAGGAGUAUGUACCUACAGUAUAUACCAGCUACAUGAAAUACUGACCACCAUGCUUAAUACUGAUUGCCAGUGCAAUCUGAUCUUCGCAUGACUUGGGAGGGACUUUCUAGACUGAGUCAAUUGAGGUCAGAAGACCCAUUCUGAAUGUGACUGGCACCGUCCCAUGGGCUGUUUCUAGGCUGACUGAAAAGGAGAAGUCAAGUUGCAUGCCCGAAUUCGUCUCUCCUCAGUGCUUCCUGACGGCAGAUGCAAAGCGUCCAUCCAGCUGCCUCUUUCUGCUACACAGCAUACCUUCCCUGCCGAGAUGGACUGUCCACUCAACAUAUGAGGAAGAGAAGCUCUUUCCCGGCAAGUCGCUUCUAUCAAGAAUUAUAUCGGGGGCUGGAGAGAUGGCUCAGAGGUUAAGAGCACUGUCUGCUCUUCCAGAGGUCCUGAGUUCA